CAGCAGCCGCGGGAAUACGUAGGGUGCGAGCGUUAAUCGGAAUUACCGGGCGUAAGGCGUGCGCAGGCGGUUAUAUAAGACAGAUGUGAAAUCCCCGGGCUCAACCUGGGACCUGCAUUUGUGACUGUAUAGCUAGAGUACGGUAGAGGGGGAUGGAAUUCCGCGUGUAGCAGUGAAAUGCGUAGAUAUGCGGAGGAACACCGAUGGCGAAGGCAAUCCCCUGGACCUGUACUGACGCUCAUGCACGAAAGCGUGGGGAGCAAACAGGAUUAGAGACCCCUGUAGUCCCUGUCUCUUAUAC
rnacentral:rRNA from 1 species